rnacentral:rRNA from 1 species
UACAGAGGUGGCGAGCGUUGUUCGGAUUUAUUGGGCGUAAAGGGUCCGUAGGCGGUCCGAAAAGUCGGAUGUGAAAUCCCACAGCUUAACUGUGGAACUGCAUUCGAAACUCUCGGACUCGAGUGUGAGAGGGGUGAAGGGAAUUCCCGGUGUAAGGGUGAAAUCUGCAGAGAUCGGGAAGAACACCAGUCGCGUAGGCGCUUCACUGGCUCACAACUGACGCUGAGGGGCGAAAGCUAGGGGAGCGAACGGGAUUAGAUACCCUUGUAGU